rnacentral:rRNA from 1 species
GACGAACGCUGGCGGCGUGCUUAACACAUGCAAGUCGAACGGGCUGCCUGGUUUUCGGAUCGGGUGGUGAGUGGCGAACGGGUGAGUAACACGUGAGUAACCUGCCCCUCUCUUUGGGAUAACGUCGGGAAAUCGGCGCUAAUACCGGGUAUUCUGGCUUCCUCGCAUGGGGUUGUUGGGAAAGGUGUUUUCUGGUGGGGGAUGGGCUCGCGGCCUAUCAGCUUGUUGGUGGGGUGAUGGCCUACCAAGGCGGUGACGGGUAGCCGGCCUGAGAGGGUGUCCGGCCACACUGGGACUGAGACACGGCCCAGACUCCUACGGGAGGCAGCAGUGGGGAAUAUUGCACAAUGGGCGGAAGCCUGAUGCAGCGACGCCGCGUGGGGGAUGACGGCCUUCGGGUUGUAAACCUCUUUCAGUGCAGAACAAGGCUCUUUGUGGGUUGAGGGUAUGCGCAGAAGAAGCGCCGGCUAACUACGUG